rnacentral:lncRNA from 1 species
CAUUAUAUAUGGACAAUUAUAGUGGACAAAAUAAGAAAAGUGUUGUAAUAAGUUAUGGAAUGUGGCUUGUUAUGAUGGGUCUACAUGAUGACUUGUAGUACAACCUGAUGGAGACCAGGCAUACAGAAUUCAGUCCUGAACAUGUUUAGAAUGUCUUCUGCAUGACCUGGUAUAGUAUUCUUGAAGGAUUACAACUUCAACCCAGAGACGGAGAUUAAUAUUUGAGGCAGGGGGUUGUCAUGAUAGGCAAAUUCUCCAACCGUAUUACCAUUCCUGAGCUGGAUGCCUGUCGACAGUGGUAGCGCCCUUUCGCAGCAACAGCAGUGUAUGCUCAAAACCAGCAAUGCCAAAGCCAUUAAAAUUGAGAACUCAGUCAUUUAAAACGAAGAAUGAAUGGAAAAAAGUGUUUAACAUUUAAAGUAAUACAGAAAAAGAGCUCAGCUCAUUUGGUAUUUUCUGAAAUUUUAAUUAAUUUGAAAGUGUUUUGAUUGUUUAAAGAUGUACUAGACCCAAAUUCCAUACAUUUGAAUAUGAACA